UACUGUGGACAUUGCCAAUGACUGCCUU
rnacentral:piRNA from 1 species